GAUGAACGCUGGCGGCGUGCCUAAUACAUGCAAGUCGAGCGAACGGACGAGAAGCUUGCUUCUCUGAUGUUAGCGGCGGACGGGUGAGUAACACGUGGAUAACCUACCUAUAAGACUGGGAUAACUUCGGGAAACCGUAGCUAAUACCGGAUAAUAUUUUGAACCGCAUGGUUCAAAAGUGAAAGACGGUCUUGCUGUCACUUAUAGAUGGAUCCGCGCUGCAUUAGCUAGUUGGUAAGGUAACGGCUUACCAAGGCAACGAUGCAUAGCCGACCUGAGAGGGUGAUCGGCCACACUGGAACUGAGACCCGGUCCAGACUCCUACGGGAGGCAGCAGUAGGGAAUCUUCCGCAAAGGGCGAAAGCCUGACGGAGCAACGACGCGUGAGUGAUGAAGGUCUUCGGAUCGUAAAACUCUGUUAUUAGGGAAGAACAUAUGUGUAAGUAACUGUGCACAUCUUGACGGUACCUAAUCAGAAAGCCACGGCUAACUACGUG
rnacentral:rRNA from 1 species